rfam:Mucilaginibacter sp. PPCGB 2223 NODE_4_length_659971_cov_157.372_ID_172, whole genome shotgun sequence.
AACCGGUAAGCCGAAAACGGUAUCAAAGAGUAGGCG